rnacentral:rRNA from 1 species
GUGUCAGCAGCCGCGGUAAUACAGAGGGGGCAAGCGUUAUUCGGAAUUAUUGGGCGUAAAGGGCGCGUAGGCGGCUUGGCAAGUGGAAGGUGAAAUCCCUCGGCUUAACCGAGGAACUGCCCUCCAAACUGCUUUGCUUGAGGCCGGGAGAGGUGAGUGGAAUUCCCAGUGUAGCGGUGAAAUGCGUAGAUAUUGGGAGGAACACCAGUGGCGAAGGCGGCUCACUGGACCGGUUCUGACGCUGAGGCGCGAAAGCGUGGGGAGCAAACGGGAUUAGAAACCCUCGUAGUCC